AGUGGGACAGCUGGGUCAAAUGGUGGUUCCACUCCAAGUUUUCCAGGGAAUCUUUAUACUGCUUUCCAGAUUGGCUGCACCAUUUUGUAGUCCCAUCAGCAAU
rnacentral:pre_miRNA from 1 species